GACGAACGCUGGCGGCGUGCCUAAUACAUGCAAGUUGAGCGAUGAAGAUUGGUGCUUGCACCACUUUGAAGAGCAGCGAACGGGUGAGUAACGCGUGGGGAAUCUGCCUUUGAGCGGGGGACAACAUUUGGAAACGAAUGCUAAUACCGCAUAACAACUUUAAACAUAAGUUUUAAGUUUGAAAGAUGCAAUUGCAUCACUCAAAGAUGAUCCCGCGUUGUAUUAGCUAGUUGGUGAGGUAAAGGCUCACCAAGGCGAUGAUACAUAGCCGACCUGAGAGGGUGAUCGGCCACAUUGGGACUGAGACACGGCCCAAACGCCUACGGGAGGCAGCAGUAGGGAAUCUUCGGCAAUGGACGAAAGUCUGACCGAGCAACGCCGCGUGAGUGAAGAAGGUUUUCGGAUCGUAAAACUCUGUUGGUAGAGAAGAACGUUGGUGAGAGUGGAAAGCUCAUCAAGUGACGGUAACUACCCAGAAAGGGACGGCUAACUACGUG
rnacentral:rRNA from 1 species